GCGGCGUGCCUAACACAUGCAAGUCGAGCGAUGAAGUUUCUUCGGAAACGGAUUAGCGGCGGACGGGUGAGUAACACGUGGGCAACCUGCCUUAUAGAGGGGAAUAGCCUUCCGAAAGGAAGAUUAAUACCGCAUAAGAUUGUAGCUUCGCAUGAAGUAGCAAUUAAAGGAGCAAUCCGCUAUAAGAUGGGCCCGCGGCGCAUUAGCUAGUUGGUGAGGUAACGGCUCACCAAGGCGACGAUGCGUAGCCGACCUGAGAGGGUGAUCGGCCACAUUGGGACUGAGACACGGCCCAGACUCCUACGGGAGGCAGCAGUGGGGAAUAUUGCACAAUGGGGGAAACCCUGAUGCAGCAACGCCGCGUGAGUGAUGACGGCCUUCGGGUUGUAAAGCUCUGUCUUUGGGGACGAUAAUGACGGUACCCAAGGAGGAAGCCACGGCUAACUACGUGCCAGCAGCCGCGGUAAUACGUAGGUGGCAAGCGUUGUCCGGAUUUACUGGGCGUAAAGGGAGCGUAGGCGGAUUUUAAGUGGGAUGUGAAAUACCCGGGCUCAACCUGGGUGCUGCAUUCCAAACUGGAAAUCUAGAGUGCAGGAGGGGAAAGUGGAAUUCCUAGUGUAGCGGUGAAAUGCGUAGAGAUUAGGAAGAACACCAGUGGCGAAGGCGACUUUCUGGACUGUAACUGACGCUGAGGCUCGAAAGCGUGGGGAGCAAACAGGAUUAAAUACCCUGGUAGUCCCCGCCCGAAACGGAUGAAUACUAGGUGUUGGGGUUGUCAUGACUUUUGGGCCGCCGGUUAACGCAUAAAGAAUUCCGCCGGGGGAGAACGGUCGCCAAGAUUAAAACUCAAAGGAAUUGACGGGGGCCCCGCACAAGUAGCGGAGCAUGUGGUUUAAUUCGAAGCAACGCGAAGAACCUUACCUAGACUUGACAUCUCCUGAAUUACCAUGUAAUGUGGGAAGUCCUUUCGGGGACAGGAAGACAGGUGGUGCAUGGUUGUCGUCAGCUCGUGUCGUGAGAUGUUGGGUUAAGUCCCGCAACGAGCGCAACCCUUAUUGUUAGUUGCUACCAUUUAGUUGAGCACUCUAGCGAGACUGCCCGGGUUAACCGGGAGGAAGGUGGGGAUGACGUCAAAUCAUCAUGCCCCUUAUGUCUAGGGCUACACACGUGCUACAAUGGCCGGUACAACGAGAUGCAAUACCGUGAGGUGGAGCAAAACUAUAAAACCGGUCUCAGUUCGGAUUGUAGGCUGAAACUCGCCUACAUGAAGCUGGAGUUACUAGUAAUCGCGAAUCAGAAUGUCGCGGUGAAUACGAUCCCGGGCCUUGUACACACCGCCCGUCACACCAUGAGAGUUGGCAAUACCCAAAGUUGGU
rnacentral:rRNA from 1 species